rnacentral:rRNA from 1 species
AGUGAACGCUGGCGGUAGGCCUAACACAUGCAAGUCGAACGGCAGCACAGUAAGAGCUUGCUCUUACGGGUGGCGAGUGGCGGACGGGUGAGGAAUACAUCGGAAUCUACUUUUUCGUGGGGGAUAACGUAGGGAAACUUACGCUAAUACCGCAUACGACCUACGGGUGAAAGCAGGGGAUCUUCGGACCUUGCGCGAUUGAAUGAGCCGAUGUCGGAUUAGCUAGUUGGCGGGGUAAAGGCCCACCAAGGCGACGAUCCGUAGCUGGUCUGAGAGGAUGAUCAGCCACACUGGAACUGAGGAACGGUCCAGACUCCUACGGGAGGCAGGAGGGGGGAAUAUUGGACAAUGGGCGCAAGCCUGAUCCAGCCAUACCGCGUGGGUGAAGAAGGCCUUCGGGUUGUAAAGCCCUUUUGUUGGGAAAGAAAAGCAGCAGGUUAAUACCCCGCUGUUCUGACGGUACCCAAAGAAUAAGCACCGGCUAACUUCGUG